rnacentral:sRNA from 1 species
ACUGUACCAAGUAAUGGCUAUUUAGAAGGUACUAUUCGUACAUAUGAUA